UACGUAGGUGGCAAGCGUUGUCCGGAUUUACUGGGUGUAAAGGGCGUGUAGCCGGGCUGACAAGUCAGAUGUGAAAUUCCGGGGCUCAACCCCGGACCUGCAUUUGAAACUGUUGGUCUUGAGUAUCGGAGAGGCAGGCGGAAUUCCUAGUGUAGCGGUGAAAUGCGUAGAUAUUAGGAGGAACACCAGUGGCGAAGGCGGUCUGCUGGACAGCAACUGACGCUGAGGCGCGAAAGCGUGGGGAGCAAACAGG
rnacentral:rRNA from 1 species